AUGAAUAUGCAUUAGGCAUAGUGGCAUCAGCAUAACAUAUAAAAGUUGUAGCCCAGCCUGUGUGCAGGGGGGGAGAGACAUAUGUAAUUGUCCACUUGCACCCAUCAGUUUGAAUUCUGGAAAAAGGAAAUAAAACUAGCCAACAAGAAAUUUUUUCAUCUCUUUUGCCUCUCACAGGGCCAGAGCUAUGACGCAGAAGCAGAGAUCACCUGGGUUAGCCCUGAAAGACAUUCAGAGCUGACAGAUUCCUACAACGCUGUCACCUUGCGAAAUCACAGACUGCAACGCAUUUGUUUAAAUUCACUCCUGCCCCCACCCUGCCACUGAACAAGUUGACUAUUCAAGAGAGAGAUUUACCUUGCCUUAAACACUCAGGAAUGGAUUGUCCAGCCUAGUUAUAUGAAGAUCUCGCCUUCUGAGAAGAAAGUCAGUGUUACAGGCAGAGCAUCACUAUUUCAGAGGAGGGCCAUGCGGCCUGAAAGCCAGACCAAGAAAUAUGCUCACUGUUGCUAUGAGCUGAUGGACUAA